AGGGUUUUGGCGGCUUCCCAGUUCCCCUCGCCGACCGCCAUGUCACAUCUUACGGAAGAGGCGGGGGCUGCCGCGGAGAGGAUAUUUUUUUGUUUUGUUUUGUUUUCACAAGAAUCACCUGGAUGCUUCUAAAGAGGAUGUCUACCAGACCCCAUGCCGCACUAGUUAGCUCAGAAGUGGGAACCCUUCUGUGGAAUGCAUCAGUUAAAAUCUCAAGAAACCCCGAGGCAGAGGAUUAAGAGAUGCUGAAGAGAAGAUGAGCCUGUAUGCAUUUAUCUGUGCUUAGCCUGCUCCGAAUGGGAACACAGCUCUCAAAUGAAGGUGGUGUGUGGUGUGUGAUGGUGGAAGUAACCAGCAACCAGGCGAAUAGGCAGGGUGUGGCCCUUUUCCACCUCCAUGUAUAAUAAUUGCAGGACUCCCCUCCCAGACAAGACUGCUCACUCCUGCAGACAAUGACCUUGUUCUUGAGAGCUGCUGCUAAUUUACAGUGAGGCACUAGGUUUCUACCCAGUGCCACGUGAGCAACCAAUCCAUCUGCCUAGGGGCACGGCACUGACGAGCAGCAUCAUUUAGAAGGAAAGAAGUAUGGGCGGCGUUUGUUGUUUCCUGUGUGUUAAGGAAAAUCCAGUGGCUAGCUCCAUGUUUUGUUCACGUGACUCUCACCCUGGUGUGGCCUGGACUCCAGUCCCUGGCUCAAGGAAAG
ensembl:processed_transcript RIKEN cDNA E130307A14 gene